rnacentral:rRNA from 1 species
AUUGAACGCUGGCGGCAUGCCUUACACAUGCAAGUCGAACGGUAACGCGGGGCAACCUGGCGACGAGUGGCGAACGGGUGAGUAAUGUAUCGGAACGUGCCCAGUUGUGGGGGAUAACUGCUAGAAAGAGCAGCUAAUACCGCAUACGACCUGAGGGUGAAAGCGGGGGAGCGCAAGACCUCGCGCAAUUGGAGCGGCCGAUAUCAGAUUAGGUAGUUGGUGGGGUAAAGGCUCACCAAGCCGACGAUCUGUAGCUGGUCUGAGAGGACGACCAGCCACACUGGGACUGAGACACGGCCCAGACUCCUACGGGAGGCAGCAGUGGGGAAUUUUGGACAAUGGACGCAAGUCUGAUCCAGCCAUGCCGCGUGCGGGAAGAAGGCCUUCGGGUUGUGAACCGCUUUUGUCAGGGAAGAAAAGGCUCCUUCUAAUAUAGGGGGCUCAUGACGGUACCUGAAGAAUAAGCACCGGCUAACUACGUGCCAGCCGCCGCUGUAACAC